rnacentral:rRNA from 1 species
GUGCCAGCCGCCGCGGUAAUACGUAGGCAGCUAGCGUUGUUCGGAAUUACUGGGCGUAAAGCGAGUGUAGGCGGUUUGCCAAGUCCGUUGUGAAAUCUCCCGGCUCAACUGGGAGGGUGCGGCGGAAACUGGCAGGCUAGAGUGCGGAAUGGGAGAGUGGAAUUCCUGGUGUAGCGGUGAAAUGCGUAGAUAUCAGGAGGAACACCGGUGGUGAAGACGGCUCUCUGGACCGCUACUGACGCUGAGACUCGAAAGCGUGGGGAGCAAACAGGAUUAGAUACCCUAGUAGUCC